UACAGAGGUCUCGAGCGUUAGGCGGAAUCACUGGGCUUAAAGCGUGUGUAGGCGGAUCGUUAAGUGCCUUGUGAAAUCCCACGGCUCAACCGUGGAACUGCUUGGCAUACUGGCGGUCUUGAGCAACCUAGGGGCGAGCGGAACAAAUGGUGGAGCGGUGAAAUGCGUAGAUAUCAGGAGGAACACCAAUGGCGAAGGCAGCUCGCUGGGACGGUACUGACGCUGAGACGCGAAAGCGUGGGGAGCAAACAGG
rnacentral:rRNA from 1 species